rnacentral:rRNA from 1 species
AACGAACGCUGGCGGCAGGCUUAACACAUGCAAGUCGAACGAACUCUUCGGAGUUAGUGGCAGACGGGUGAGUAACGCGUGGGAACCUACCUUUAGGUACGGAACAACAGUUGGAAACGACUGCUAAUACCGUAUGUGCCCUAUGGGGGAAAGAUUUAUCGCCUAAGGAUGGGCCCGCGUUGGAUUAGCUAGUUGGUGGGGUAAAGGCCUACCAAGGCGACGAUCCAUAGCUGGUCUGAGAGGAUGAUCAGCCACACUGGGACUGAGACACGGCCCAGACUCCUACGGGAGGCAGCAGUGGGAAUAUUGGACAAUGGGCGCAAGCCUGAUCCAGCCAUGCCGCGUGAGUGAUGAAGGCCCUAGGGUUGUAA